rnacentral:rRNA from 1 species
AGAUUGAACGCUGGCGGCAGGCCUAACACAUGCAAGUCGAGCGGUAGAGAGGUGCUUGCAUCUCUUGAGAGCGGCGGACGGGUGAGUAAUGCCUAGGAAUCUGCCUAGUGGUGGGGGAUAACGUUCGGAAACGGACGCUAAUACCGCA